rnacentral:misc_RNA from 1 species
UCCCCAUGUGGUGCAAUCUUCGACCUUCAUCACCUGAACUACACAAGGCUCCCUGCUAACACACGCAUCUUAUCCGCGCUCCGCUUCAGUCAUCAUACGUCAUAUUGAGCAGCAGUCCGUUGUCUUGGUGUUACUCCUCAAGUUACAGUGAACAGACUAGUGAUAUAGACAAACUAGAUACACAUUACCCCAGUCCCGUGAAAACGUUUGCCAGCUUGUACUAAAAGACAGUGCAUCAGUGAGCGGAGGGAGAGCUUUGUUAAAACUCUCCUAGUGACUGGACGAACAGCUCCCUAUGUUGUAAAAGUAGGAAAGGUGUUUGAAUUUCGAGCUUUUCAUCAAGAUGGUUGCAGAUGCAGUGUAUGUGGGGCCACACCCAGAAAAAUUGGCUGAUGAAGCUGUAGACCAUCGGAGCGACAACAUUCCUGCCAUGGCGCUGAUGGUUUAUGAGAACGCUCCAAGAAAGGAAAUUGGGCAGAACUUUGUGAUAGUGGAAGCCGGCACUGACAUGAGAGAGGAAAGUGACAGCGACGAUGACCAAGAGAGUGGUGUCCUCUACAUAAAGGAGGAAAAUGAGUAUGAGCUGCUGUCACCACACCUGGCCCCAGUCAUCAUACAAAACAAAGGAGAUAGCGAUGACAAGGCAGUGAAUUCUACGCCAGGAGUACUCGAGUGCUCGUUGCCCUGUCACUCAGACGACAGUAACCAGGGCAAGAAGUUGAAUGAAAACCUGUCAAGAGUCAAGAAGAGUCAGCAGAGAAUGUUACUUGCCAAACAGUGGAUAAAGGACUACUUGCUCCUUGUUGCCACCAGUGUCAGUAUGGUGUCCUUAGAAAACAUAGAGAAAGCCUACAUUAACAGCUGCCAAGAGAAAGGUCAAGAACCACUUAACACAUUUGUGCUUGCUCGCCUCAUUCACCAAGUGUUUCCAGAGGCAGUGAAGUGCCGUCGUGGAUCUCGUGGCAGCCAGAAAAUUCAUUACAGAAAGUUGCAGUGGAGGAGUGGCUGCUCCCCCAACCAGGAUGCCACUUUGCCUUCAGAGAACAACACUGAAGAAAAGAUACCAAGUGAGGAACUAUCUUCUGCAGAAGCACAAAGCAAGGAUGAGAAUGCUCCACCACAAAGUGCAAGCAGUGAGGAGGAGGAGGUGGUGGUGGUGCAAAAGCCAAGACAUGUUAAUGAACAGAUGUAUCAUGCAGUCCAGGAACUAGUAGAGAAACAAUCCAACCAGCCUGUGCCCAAGGGUGAGGACACGGAUGAGAAGGGAUGCCAGGAUGCUGCCCAACACUUUACCAAAGUAGUGAAAUCUGUUAAACUAGAGGGAAAAUUUGACCUGCUUCUAAAAAUUUUUGCACACAGCGCUUCAUGCAGCAACUCUAAAUGCAACUCGCUCUGCCUCAUGUUUCGCAGAGUGCGUCGCCAUGUAGUGAAUGCACGCCAUCCCUGCUCUGUCAUGCGCAUAUACUCUGUGCUGCUGAAACUACAUGUGGCACGCUGCAACGACACCAAAUGCGGCAUGACAACAUGUCCAGCCCUGCAAGCCUCUCGUCAGAUGAAGCGGGGCAGGGAUGAGGACUUCCAGGAUGAGCUACAGCAGCAACAAUGUGAUGGGCCUCAGCGCUCGACAAAGAGACCCAGUCUUUUGAUAAUGCGGAACAGGAUGCCGUCACCAGCCGGUUCCCUCCCAGACUCUCAGCCCAACACUCCCUCACCACCUCCAGCCCUUCUCAACCUCCCUCACCAAGAAUCAUUCCGCCAUUCCCCGUGGAAGUACGCCAUGUGGUUAAGCCUCACACAGAGUGUGAAGGUGCCUAGGUGCUAAGUGCUCAUCAUUGUGCCUUUUAGUCUCUCUGGUGUUCGUAAAACAUCAAGAGACUGGCAUGACAUGGAAUGUGGAUGCUGGUGAUGAUUGUACAAGAAACAGAGUGGCCAAUGCUUUCAAAGAAGAGAUGCAGUCCUUUGCAAGGAUCCCUAAAUGUUCGAGUCACUAUUCAAGAGAUGUUUCAUGGCCACUAGGCAAGAUAUUGCUAGGAACUUGUUGAUGGUUAUGAAAACAACGUAGAGAAACUUCUUUCUAAUUCUGGAGUUAAACAGAAAGAAAAUGGACAUAGAUUGUGUUUGGAAAUUAUUAUAUAAUGAUUUUUCUGUGAAUGAAUGAGAGGGAGUCACUUUAUGAGGCGUGUGUGAAGUGGUGAGGGGCAGUAUAUGAAGCAGCCUGACUGUGGAAACAUUGAUCCUCCACUCUGCACUAGCCUGAUAAGUCACUCUCUCUCUUCUCUCUUAGGUGACAUUAUAUUUUUUACAUUUCUACCGAUCAUAUAUAUGUAUAAGUUAAAAGAAUAUUUCUUCAAUAUUUGAAUUUAUUUUUAUAUGUGGAUAUACUCUAGUUAUGUACAUAAUACCACAAUGCAGUCACUGAGCAGGAUGAUCAGUAAGGGAUCAUUGUGACAGAUUUCAUUCUCAAACAAUUGAGAGAUUACAGUGAAAAGAGAGGACAAAAGCCCUCAUGGUAUAUAUGAGCAAUUCCUUUUUCAAACCUUUUACUACACUACCUGAUUACCAACAUGGGCCUCGCAGCGGGUGAAGUGUUUGUCCUGUGGCAGAUUGUGCUCAGUGAUUUUGUGAUGUUUACAUAUUAGCUAGCACUCAGUAUUUAAAUAUGCUAAAGCAAUUGUACAAUGAAGAACAUUAACUAUAGAACCAAUUUGAAUCACUACCUCUGAAUUGCAUACAGAAGCAGAACUAUGUAGUACUUUAGCUUGCAGUCUUCUUAAAAAAAAAAAGGAAAAGGUGUGUAAAGUGUUAAAAGCCACAAUAUACACCGCUACUUGACUACUGGGACUUACCUAAGGUCUGCCAAUUGCAAAAAAAUAAUAAUAACAUGUAUCA